GCACAAGCGGUGGAUCAUGUGUUAAUUCGACGAUACGCGAAGAACCUUACCAGGUCUUGACAUCCCCUGCAAAGCUAUGGAGACAUAGUGGAGGUUAUCAGGGAGACAGGUGGUGCAUGGUUGUCGUCAGCUCGUGUCGUGAGAUGUUGGGUUAAGUCCCGCAACGAGCGCAACCCUUAUUGCUAGUUACCAUCAUUAAGUUGGGGACUCUAGCGAGACUGCCAGUGAUAAACUGGAGGAAGGUGGGGAUGACGUCAAAUCAUCAUGCCCCUUAUGACCUGGGCUACAAACGUGAUACAAUGGCUGAAACAAAGGGCAGCGAAGGAGCGAUCUGGAGCGAAACCCAAAAAAGCAGUCUCAGUUCGGAUUGAAGUCUGUAACUCGACUUCAUGAAGUCGGAAUCGCUAGUAAUCGCGGAUCAGAACGCCGCGGUGAAUACGUUCUCGGGGUUU
rnacentral:rRNA from 1 species